rnacentral:lncRNA from 1 species
AGGGCGCGCCGCGUCCCGUCCGGUCCCGUCCCGUUCCGUCCCGUCGGGUCCCAGCCCCGCCAACUCUCACCCUGCCCGGCCCUUCCAGCGGAUCCACUUGCAGCCCCCGACCCCUGACUUGGUCCCCGAGGUCGGGGCUCGGUGGGAAGGAAAGCGAGGGGCUUCCCGGAAAGAAAGGGAGGAGGAGGCAGGAGGAGGCAGACGCCGAGAGAGGAGAAAAGGAGGCCAGAGGCAGAGGGAAAAGGAGGAGGGCAAGAGAAUCCUAGAGCGGGAAGAGCGUGGGCUCUGCGGGACGUGGGCGAGAGGUUACCAGGGAAAGAAUGGACAUUGACGGCAGAGAGCAAGUUUAGCCUGGAGAGGAGGAAUUGAGUGAGCAAAGGGGGUAGUCUGGGGUGCGAUGCACAGAAAGGCCCGUCCAGGGUAACCUUCACGUCUCCGUAUCCGUUGCUGUCGACUUUCCAGAGCCUUUGUUCCCAGUGACGUCCCUAUUGCAAUGGAGGGACACACUUCACUUUCCCCAGCCCCCCACCUCGAGAAUUUCUCUCACCCUCCCACCCUGCGGGGCCGCAGAGCUUGCUCCUCACGGCAGGAGUUGGAGCCCUGACGCUUGCCUUCACCUAGUUUUUGUUUGGUUUGGUUUGGCGUUGAUGGGACAAAGUCAGCCAAACUACUUUGCCAUCAGCAGAGAAGGAUACGGGAAUAUUUGAUCAUGUCUGGAAGGUGACCUGUAGGUGGAUCUGCUUACCAAAGUGCUCAGGGACUUGCCUGGGAAGGGACUUUUCCCAAGGAGAGAUUGGAUCAAGGUCCGCAGGGCUGGCCAAUGGCAAUAGGCCAGCAUCAGAGAAGAGUGAUGUUGGAACCGCAAAAUAAAAUGAGAAAUAAAAGAGCCUGC